UCAACCCAUUCUCACUCCAAAGGCGUCAAAAACCGAAGCAUGGUCAAGCGCCCCUAGCGUCACUUUUAUGACGCCAAAUGUGCCUCUCGGCGUCGAAUAUCGAAGCACUACGACCUUCAUUGCUUUCAAUGGGAAACUUUUGGCGUCAGAAUUUGACACGAGGACAUGAGAUGUUUAUCGCUAUGAAAUCACGUUCAAGAAGUCUCAUUCAGCACACAUCGCGAUACUUGCUAUCAGUUCCACAGUUUGGCUGAAAAGACAUAAAGGCAGUCAGCCCAGUGGUGUUUCUGGAGAGGGAUUCCUUCAGAAAUGGAGAAGACAGAAAGCUGCGGAGGCAGAUAUAUGCAGCAGAUUGUUUGAGGAUAACGCUGUAGCUCCAUCAUGCACAAGGACUCACCUCGUUUACUCUUUAUCCCCCGCACACACAGAAAUGGUCCCUGGAUCAGUGAUUAGACUUUGCAGUGGUUUGAUUUUUGCAGAAGAUGUAACUUUGUUUUAAUUAUAAGCUCAUAAUGAAUACACUACAGAACCAGUGAUGAAAACAAUAGUUACAAAUAGCGCUCCAUAUUAAAAAUAUAUUGCACACUUGACAUGCAUGUCUUCAUGGUGUUUUUUUGUGAGUUUGAAACAUUUACAUUGUGUUGUAUAACAUUUUGGUCACAACACUUUUUCCAGUGUUCUCUGAAAGACAUACUGUAUUUACUGUUUUGUUUUUUAAUAAAAGCAUUUUCAUUUGCAUACUGAAAAUAGUUAAUGUUUACAACAUAACUGCCUUUUUAUUCUUUAUGGUGGCAAAAAUGAGCUUGGUGACAGAGGAUGCAGUGUAGUAAUUUGGGCAUGUUGUCUUUAAAUGAGUUUGACAUAUAAAUAAAUAAUGGAAGAUCCUUACAAAAAUAUGCAUGUUUAUUAUGCUUUAUGUAUUUAUUUGUUCAUUCAUUCAUUCAUUUAUAAUUUCAGUUUUUAUUCCUAGAGUUCAAAUGGUAGAGAAUGGUAAAUCACAGAAACACAAAUGUGAACAAUUUUAACUUUAAAACACAAUGUAAUAUACAAUGUAAAUUUUAGAAGCACGUCAUUUGAUUAGUAAAUAUAUUUGUCUUUGGUCAAAAAAAAA